rnacentral:rRNA from 1 species
UACAGAGGGGGCAAGCGUUGUUCGGAAUUACUGGGCGUAAAGGGCGCGUAGGCGGCCUGUUAAGUCGAACGUGAAAUCCCCGGGCUCAACCCGGGAACUGCGUCCGAUACUGGCAGGCUUGAAUUCGGGAGAGGGAUGCAGAAUUCCAGGUGUAGCGGUGAAAUGCGUAGAUAUCUGGAGGAAUACCGGUGGCGAAGGCGGCAUCCUGGACCGGCAUUGACGCUGAGGAGCGAAAGCUAGGGGAGCAAACGGG